rnacentral:lncRNA from 1 species
CCCAAGUUCAUUUGAGGGCAGCAGGGGUCCCUGUGAGUGAUUUCUUCCAGGAGGGAAUUUGGAGGAACAUUCCAGAUCUCGGCUCUCACACUUGAGCUGCAUCACAAUCACCUAGGUGGCUUUGUGAAACACAGCCUGCUGGGCCCACUCCCAGAGUUUCAGAUUUAGCAGGUCUGGAGUGGGGGCCAAGAAAUUACAUUUGUAACAAGUUCCAAGGUUCGUGAGGCCACACUGUGAAGACCACUGUUCUAGAGGUUAGAUGAUGGGUUCUCAGCCCCAGCUGUACCUGGGCAUCGUCCAUGAAGCUUUGAAAACUGUCAGGGCCCCAGAACUCACUCCUAGAGGUUGACUUAAUUGGAGUGGGAUGGAGCAGGACAUUUAAAAGGUUCUCUGGGUGAUUCUGGUGUGGUCAUGAGCUAGGAAUCAGCCAAGUUUGGGUUGAGACUGAGUCUCCAGUUAGCUUUCUGCAGUCUUGGCCUGCAGUCCUCAAUCUGCGACCCACUGCGGUCUCCUCUCCUGCAGGAAGGCUGCGCAGCCACCCUGUCGUGUCACAGUGGUGUGGAGCUGGGAGGGGCCUUGAAGCCUGGGCUCCUACCCAUCAAGACAGCCAAUGCUCACAGCUAGCUGUGAAUGCACACCUACUAUGUGCCUGCAUCUCCUCCUCCUCCUCAUGACAUGAGGUAGGUGGUGUCAUGCCCCCAUUUUAUAGAUAAAAUAACUGAGGCUUAGAGAGGUGAAGUGUCUGGUCCAAGGAUAACAGCUAGCAAAGGGCUAAGCUGGGGAAGACUGUUUUGGACGCCACUCUGCGGCCAGUUGAGGACACAAAACCAGGCAAGUCAAGCCCUUGAUGUCAAACAGUUCACAGACCUUGAAGCAGGCUGGCUGGCUAGCUGGAUGGACAGACGGACAGAAAACCAGAUUUGAAGGCACAGAGAAAAACAGGUGAUGAAGCAAGGCUGCGCAGGAGACCUCUUUCUUCUCAAUUUGAUGGGUGAUGAGUGAGCAAAUCUCACUGGUUUGAUGCUAGCUUGCUGUGUGACCUUGGCGAUCCAUUGAACCUCUCUGAACGUAAUGGUGCCAUCUGUGAAAUGAGAGCUUAGAUACCACAGCUCCUGAAAUCCCACUGGGCCUCAGGGUUCCCUAAUUUUCUAAAUCUCCAAACCCCACAGUUGUAAGAUCCACAUUCAUCCUGGAGAG